rnacentral:rRNA from 1 species
GUAGGUGGCAAGCGUUGUCCGGAAUUAUUGGGCGUAAAGCGCGCGCAGGCGGUCCUUUAAGUCUGAUGUGAAAGCCCACGGCUCAACCGUGGAGGGUCAUUGGAAACUGGGGGACUUGAGUACAGAAGAGGAAAGCGGAAUUCCAAGUGUAGCGGUGAAAUGCGUAGAGAUUUGGAGGAACACCAGUGGCGAAGGCGGCUUUCUGGACUGUAACUGACGCUGAGGCGCGAAAGCGUGGGGAGCAAACAGGAUUAGAUACCCUGGUAGUCCACGCCGUAAACGAUGAGUGCUAAGUGUUAGGGGGUUUCCCGCCCCCUUAGUGCUGCAGCUAACGCAUUAAGCACUCCGCCUGGGGAGUACGGCCGCAAGGCUG